CCUCCCCCACCCCCCCACACAAUUUUUGCCGUCCUCGCGCCCACUGUCUGCAGCGGGAGACUGCUCCGUUUCACCUGCUCCCUGUGUCGCCCUGGGAGGAAUGCCUCUCGCUGUCCAGAAAACUGGAAUUAAAUGUAGGGUGAGAGCGGCGAAAGUCGUUUUGCAACUUUCUCAUAAUUGCCUGACCUGUUGCUCCGUAGUUUAACUUGCGGCAAGUUACGGGCCAACUCACUCGAUCAGGGCUCACGAGGAAGGUAUGCUAUACGGCGGUUUUAAUUUGAAUUAAAGACUGAAAAGAAGCACCUGGUCAGUAACACUCCCUCGCGGCUGUCUAGUAACACGGGACAGAGCCUAGUAAAAACCAUUGAUCUAGACGUCUCGAAAUCUAGGUUAAGAGACGUUUUUACAUUAACGGACUAGGUUAACCCCGAUAUAGGUUUUUCCCCAGGUUUACCCUGAUAUAGCAUAUACGCCCUGGUCUGCUAGAAAACGUUCACUUUCAAAAUGUAGACGGGUUUUCACCUCGACGACUAGACGGCAUUUCAACGACUUUUCGUCACAGAAAUGUUCACUGGGAAGUGAAAGGUGUCAAUCACAUGCAGCUUGGGAGCCGGGAGCCGUCUCAUCGGGCCAUGGAUGUGGUGGACCAGGAGUGGACCACGGCGUGCCAGAGCAGUGGUCUCGACUGUCUGAAUUGACCUGGAGCCAGAAUGCAACUUAUAAGCAUCCCGUGUGUCACCGUAUUUCGUCAGAAUACCCCAGACCCUCAAUCAAGCCAAAAUGGCUUGUGUAUUUCAGUUUGUGCUUUUUUUUUUAUUUCUUUUUUUUUUUCCUCUCUCUUCAGCAGCCACAGUUGUUUGUGGAGUAAUAACGACGUGUUAAGUGUGCUAAGUUUCUUCGCAGUUAGGCUUUCUUUUUUCUUCCUCAUAUUUUUUUAUUUUUUUUGCACCCUGGUGAAUUUCUCACUCCAGGCAAUGUAUGCUUUCUGUUGAGCGUGCUCUUCAGCGCAGUGUAAAUAGAUUUCACACUCAAUUGGUCCCUCAGUGUCGCAGUGUAAAGAUACUUGGACAGAAAAAAGUGGUGGGUUGGGGGGGGGGAGAGGGUUUCAUGUUGUUAAAACUAAAACAUUACACACAAAGCGGCGUCUGCACAAAGGGACUGAGCAUGUUUAAGAAUCCUUACUGGGACCAGGGACAGAGACUUUUAGACCGAGGGUUAGCGUUUAAAGAUUGACGCUGUGCAUUGUGAAUGUCCACUGAAGCCUCAUCAGAACACUCCCAAAACGGUCGUUCGACGAGCAGCUGCUUCGGUAAGCCACGGGGGCCAUGUACUGUAUUCAAUAUGGUGACUAAUAAAUGCUUUGAUAAUCCUUUUGCUUCUAAAUGUUUGGGCCUCAGAGUCCUUUUCCAGAAGGGGCUUUCUUUGGUCGUGCUGCAUCUUAUUGGUUGAUGUUCGCGUUUGGACUGGUGCAAUUUGGAGCCUCCACUCUCUGACUAGGAAGUUCAAGUCAGCAUCAUAUUUUAGGAUUUAUUUUCUGAGUGU